UACGUAGGUGGCAAGCGUUGUCCGGAUUUACUGGGCGUAAAGGGCGUGCAGGCGGUUUGUUAAGUGCAGGGUGAAAGCUCCCGGCUCAACUGGGAGAGGUCCUUGCAUACUGGCAGACUUGAGGGAGGCAGAGGAAAGUGGAAUUCCCGGUGUAGUGGUGAUAUGCGUAGAUAUCGGGAGGAACACCUGUGGCGAAGGCGGCAUCCUGGACCGAGAUUGACGCUGAGGCGCGAAAGCCAGGGGAGCAAACGGG
rnacentral:rRNA from 1 species